UGGAAAGCUCAGAUCUUUAAUGAAGGUCGGACAGAUUUACAACCUGAGAGUCAGCAGAUACUGAAAUACUGUGAAGUCUCAAGAACAAUAUGUACAUAUAACAAUGACACUUAUGAUCAUUUAAGAGUUUUAAUAUUAGAAGAAGACUAAAUGAAUUUUAGCUGAGUUGGAAGAAUCAGCUGGACACAUCAUCACAUUUAUAAUUCGUGCUGUGAAUUCUGGUUUCAGAUUUAAAUGUAAAUGUAAAGAUUUGCAUGAAUGAGCAGGAAGCCCUGCAGCAGACUCACAGACGGAUGCAGAGGGGAGGAGUGUGGAGGUGUGUGCUGUGUGUUUGGAGGAGGGACUCCUUCAGUUAGAGAAGUGAGGCGUCACAAGUUCCUGGUUUCCAGUGAAGAAGAAGAGAGGCAGCAGUAAACCAUCAGAGCCUCAUCAUGAAAGUCCAUCACACUCUGAUCUGCUUCUUCUUCCUUUCUCUGCAGGAUGGAAACCCUGAAGUCACCAAAGCUCAGAUUCGUUACUAUGGAGUCAUUGGAGGAGAUUUUAAAGCUGGAUUCUCCUUUAAUUCUCCAGGAACAUGGAAGAUGUUCUGCAGAGAAAAAUGUGAAGGAGAAAACAUUCUUAUUAAAACAACUGAUGUCAGAGCUCAAACAGGCAGAUACAGCAUUGAAUACAAAAAAGAAUCAACAUAUUAUGUUUUAUCUGUGAGCAUCUCAAAGCUGACUGAGUCUGACUCUGGACAGUACAGCUGUGGUUUGGGUGGAUCUCCAUCAUCAGCUCCAUUCACACCGUUUGUGAUCGUUGUUGCUGAAGCACUGCUGGAUGGAAACGAUGAUCCUGCUCAGCUGAAACACUUCAAUAAAGAAACUGGAAGCUCUCUCACAGUCGCAUGUUCCUUUAAACAAGCUGGAUACAGAAAGAUGUUCUGCAGAGGAGAAUGUGGAGGAGAGAAGAUUCUUGUUCAUACAGAGCAUCUCAGUGCUCAGAGAGACAGAUACAACAUUGGAUAUGUUUCAGAAUCAGGAGUUCUGUAUGUGAGCAUCACACAGCUGACCAAGUCUGACUCAGGACGGUACAGAUGUUUACUGAUUGGAUCUUCCAGCAGCUCAUCCAGAGAGUUUGAGGUCACUGUCACAGAUGCAGCUGGACCAUCAGCCACAACUACAGGAAGCUCCACACCUUCAUUAACUUGGACUGGAAGCACUGAGCAGCCUGAAGGAGCAGCAUCAGAUGUGCUGCUGUUUGUGGGUCUGACUCUGGCUCUCAUCAUUAUCCUGUUAUCAGUGUCUGUGCUGAUAUUCUGCAAGAAAAGAUCCUCUAAACCAAAGGAUCAUCCUGUGGGAACUGAACGUGAUGCUGUCACAGAGACCAACACAGUGUAUGAGAAUAUCCGAGCAGAGGGCAGACACAGCAGAUCUCCUCCUUACUCUUAUGCCAAAUACACCAAACCGUCUGGAGUUGAAAGCAAUGAUGACCACAGCUUGGUCACUGCAGCCACUUCUCAGCACAGAACUGAAGAUGACUCGAGCAAACUCACCUACUCUGUGGUGAAUUUUUCCAAGAAGAGCAGUGACUCUGCCAACAGCACGUCCUGCAGUAACACCAGUGAAGUUAUCUACUCCGAGCCUCGGGUUAAUGCAAACCACUCCGGAGGUGAUCCAUUGUACUCUACUAUAACCUAGCUUUAGCUCCUGUGCUGGUGGCACAGUUUAUUUCUCACAGUGUUCAAAAUGAAGCAGCGCUUCCAUCAAAAUCUGAAGAUUCAUCCUUCCAUCCAUUUUCUUAUCUGGAGCCUUGUCACAGGGGCCCAGACCCAGAGAAGCCCAGACCUCCCUCUCCCCAGCCGCCUCCUCCACCUUAUCUAGGGGAACACCAAGUUGUUCCCAGGCCAGCUGAGAGAUAUAAUCUCUCCAACGUGUCCUGGGUCUGCCCCGGGGCCUUCUCCCGGUGGGACAUGCCCAGAACACCUCACCCAGGAGGCGCCCGAAGGCAUCCUUAUCCUCCUUUCAAUGUGGAGCCCGUCUUGGAUGGCCAAACUCCUCGCCCCAUCUCUAAGGGAGAGGCCAGCCACCCUUUGGAGGAAACUCAUUUCCCCGCUGUAUCCAUGAUCUUGUUUUCUGAGGUGAGGGUGGGGACAUAGACCAACCUGUAAACUGAGAUCUUUGCUUUUACACUCAGCUCUCUCUUUACUGCAGCCACAGCACCGAUCCAUCUGUCAAUCUCCCCUUACUCAUGAACAAGACAUGAGAUACUUAAACUCCUCCACCUAAGACUGUAAAAUCUAAGAUUCUUUUUUCUUUUAUGUUACAAUUUGAUGUAAUUUGUCUUUAGGUUAGUGUUACAGUCAUUUAAAUUAAGAUCAGAGGUGGUAAGGUUUCUCCACCUAAGCUAAUAAUCCUUAACUAAUAACUGCUUGACCUACGUUUUUAAAGAAUUAUACACAAACAAAAGAAAGAAAGAAACUGGUAAUGAGAUAUUAAUACACAGCUCACCCAGUGUGGAGCCACUGAAUCCAGACUCAUCCGUCGGAUUGGCAGAUGGAGAAGCGUGAACACGUUUCCACUGCUCUAGAUCAGACGGCAGGUUUAAAUAUCACAACUAUAAUAAUCCAUAAUUAUGUGGAUAUGCAUAUCAGAUAGUUUUUAGUGAAAUAUAAGCCCUACAGAAAGGCAGGGAAAGCCCUGUAACUUACUUUAAAACUAAACGGUGGACAGAGCUACAGACCCCUGACAGCCUUACCCAGUUAGCUAGCUGGUAAAAGGACAGGUAAUGUUUGUCAUGCUGUUGCACACACAGCACACUCAUUUGUUUCAGUUCGUCAGUUGCCACAAGACAGCUGACCAACAUGUGCUUGAUAACCUAAGACUGCUGGGUGCUACAGACUACAGUGUACGCUGUACACCAUACUUAAUCGUUUUGCUGCAUCAGUCUGCCUCUGAGUUAAUUUGUGUUUAAGGGUUAGUCCUAUGAUAACAUGCAUGAACUGUAUCUUUAUUCGACCUCGUAUCUCUAUUGUUGUUUAAGACGUGUGUUUUAGGGACUUAAUAAAUGAUUAAACAAUUUCUAAACAAUGAUAUCUUUUGUAGUUUGGAGGCUAAACAGGCCUAAUACACUGAAUAUGUUUUCAGUGGUAGUCGAGCAUCACUUCAGUAAGUAUGUAACAGAAAGAGGAAGCAGCUGCUGGUUUUCUAAAUCUAUUUGACCCAACAUUCAGUGAAGUGAUUAAAAAGAGGAAGUAAGAACUAGUUACCGUAAACAAGCUGUCACACAUGGGUGGACCUCCUUUACUUCAAGCAUGACUCAGUUUUUCUGUCUUUGUGGGGUUGUUUAACCUUUUCAUUUGUAUCAUGAGUAACUUUUGCAGCAUUUUUUAUUUGCAUUUAGUCACAC
rnacentral:lncRNA from 1 species